rnacentral:rRNA from 1 species
AUUGAACGCUGGCGGCAUCCCUUACACAUGCAAGUCGAACGGUAACAGGUCUUCGGAUGCUGACGAGUGGCGAACGGGUGCGUAAUACAUCGGAACGUGCCCGAUCGUGGGGGAUAACGAAGCGAAAGCUUUGCUAAUACCGCAUAAGAUCUACGGAUGAAAGCAGGGGACCGCAAGGCCUUGCGCGAACGGAGCGGCCGAUGGCAGAUUAGGUAGUUGGUGGGAUAAAAGCUUACCAAGCCGACGAUCUGUAGCUGGUCUGAGAGGACGACCAGCCACACUGGGACUGAGACACGGCCCAGACUCCUACGGGAGGCAGCAGUGGGGAAUUUUGGACAAUGGGCGAAAGCCUGAUCCAGCCAUGCCGCGUGCAGGAUGAAGGCCUUCGGGUUGUAAACUGCUUUUGUACGGAACGAAAAGACUCUGGUUAAUACCUGGGGUCCAUGACGGUACCGUAAGAAUAAGCACCGGCUAACUACGUG